UACAGAGGGCUCAAGCGUUGUUCGGAUUCAUUGGGCGUAAAGGGUGCGUAGGUGGCGGGGUAAGUCAGGUGUGAAAUUUCGGAGCUUAACUCCGAAACUGCAUUUGAUACUGCCUUGCUUGAGGACUGGAGAGGAGACUGGAAUUCACGGUGUAGCAGUGAAAUGCGUAGAGAUCGUGAGGAAGACCAGUGGCGAAGGCGGGUCUCUGGACAGUUCCUGACACUGAGGCACGAAGGCCAGGGGAGCAAACAGG
rnacentral:rRNA from 1 species